CCUCAGCACCGCUGGCUUCUGGAUCAGGAGGUGCUGAACCUCCCCAUGCUAGCGACCUCAGAAUGGUAAGGGUUGGCUCAAUUUUUUCAGCCUUCGAAGGAGAUCGAAGGAGCCAAAUGAGUCUGACCCCUGAAGAUAUAGUUUCGAGCUUGCUGACCCCAGAGAAAAUAAUCCUGAGCUUGUCAGCUCCUCCUACCAUUGCAUUCUCCCUAGAAGAUGAGCCAGCCA
rnacentral:lncRNA from 1 species